UACGUAGGGUGCGAGCGUUAAUCGGAAUUACUGGGCGUAAAGCGUGCGCAGGUGGUCAUGCAAGACAGAUGUGAAAUCCCCGGGCUUAACCUGGGAACUGCAUUUGUGACUGCACGGCUAGAGUGCGGCAGAGGGAAGCGGAAUUUCCAGUGUAGCGGUGAAAUGCGUAGAUAUUCGGGAGGAACACCAUGUGGCGAAAGGCGGCUCACCUGGACCGUACUGACGCUGAGGCGCGAAAGCGUGGGGAGCAAACAGG
rnacentral:rRNA from 1 species